rnacentral:tRNA from 1 species
GUAGACGUUAGCUCAGUGGUUAGAGCGCAGGCCUCUGGCUCUCGGGUCCGCGAGUUCGAGUCCCGUCGUCUACU